rnacentral:rRNA from 1 species
UUUAAAUGAAGACCAGAACAAAAGAUUAAACGUUUAAAUUAAUAUCUAUACUUAAUUAAAUCCAAUUUAUCUUAAAUGUAAAAAGACAUUUAUAAAUAAAAAAGACGACAAGACCCUAUUGAACUUAACUUAAGUUAAACUGGGGCAGUUCAUUAAUAAUAAUUUUAAUGUAUAAAAUAAAAUAAAUUAUCCAAUAUUAUUGACAUGAUCAAGUUACCAUAGGGAUAACAGCGUAAUAAUUUUCUAAAGACCUUAUAAAAAUAAUAGUUUGCGACCUCGAUGUUGAAUUAAUUACCUAAUUAGAGCAAAAGCUAAUUAAGGAAGUCUGUUCGACUUUUAAAAAAUUACAUGAUUUGAGUUCAGACCGGUAUAAGCCAGGUCGGUUUCUAUCUUUUCUUAAAUUCUUGUAGUACGAAAGGGCCUAAGAAACUAAUUUAAUUAAUUAAUUGGCAGAAAAAUGCAUUAGAAUUAGAAUCUAAUAAAACUAAUUUAUACCAUUUAUAUUAUCAUACCUAAUCAUUAUUAUCAGA